UACUUUUCUCACUAUCAAAUUUAAGCUUCACUAAUAUGUAUCUAACUCUCUUUUCAUUAGCUUUUAUUUGUUUCAUUAAUUUAUUGCUGAUUGCAGCUUGUCAAUCUUGUCAAAAUGACAGAUCAUGACCAGCUAUGCGGACACACUAGCGGUUUCAUCCCAGUAGGCAGUGAUUGUUGAGAUGGUCCAGAUUGUGAUCCCGCACUGGCAAGGCAGCGACAACACAAAGACAUGAGUACAUGAGCGUGGUGAGGGUGGAGAGAGGAUGCAAACAUGUGGAUCUAGGGUUAAGAAGAGCAGUGUUGGUAUGGAAUCUGUCUUAUAAUUGACAUUAAAAUCUUAGUGUGUCACUUUAUUACGAGGGAUUUUAGACUUUUGAUAUCAUCUACAUGGGAGCUUUUUCUUGUGAGAAUGACAUACACGUUCAAACUUGAAUCAUCAUUGUAUUUUUUUUUCUCAUUGCAACGCAACCAGGUGAUUCAUCUAAGCUAAUGGCAUGGUGGAUUUUGUACCUGCCUAAGUGUAGACUUUGAACAAUGCUAGAAAUAGAGAAAUCUGCUAGCUGUAGCUACAGAGAUUUGAUGUCA